GUUUGUCAAGGCCAUUCUCUCUAGGAGACGCUGUGCCAUUCGCCGUCGGACUCGUUGGCCCUUCGCUGGCAUCGUCUACCACCAAGUCCUGGUCGCUCUUUUCACCAUCGCUUUGCUAUCGGGGAAAACGUGUACGGCUUUAAUAAGGUGAUCGUGAUGCUGGGGAUCGGGUGAUCGCGGCCUACUGUAUUUUUCGCGUUCCGCUGGCGAUAUCGAACUUCUCUGGAACAACUAAUCGAAGAUAACGUUUACAUCUGAGAACUUGAAAUGACUUUGAUCGCUAAUCUCACGACUUUGAUACUGCCAUAAUCUUCAAGACACUUUGAUUACCAUUGUCAAGACCUCGAUGACCCGCGUGAUUUUCGAAUAAUCUCAACGAGAAAUAACGGCAACUUGUUAAUUCUUUAUAAUUAAUGUAUCAAUUAGUAUAGUACUUCAAAAUUUGUUUAGGCUUGUACUAAUCAUAUCGCAAGUACAUCUUGUGUGCGAUAUUUAUUAAAUAUAAAAUUAAGAACUUCUUUGCUAACAAACGAAGAACAGUCAUCGCCAACAGUCAAUUUUUAGAUCGCUCUAAGAUUACUAUUUUGUUAAUCCACACGUCAGAUUUAUCAUAAAUACAACUUGUAUUGCCACUCCAA